rnacentral:lncRNA from 1 species
UCAAGAGCAACAAAAACACCAACAACAUCCAACCAAGACUAUAACAACAAGUCCACACAUCCAAGAACAACAACUUCAACACACGGCCAUGGUCUUGUUCACAACAACAACAUCAAUUUUUUUAAAGCUCAAAUCUAGAUCGACUCAAAGUGUUAAUGGACAAGAAUACUAACACUUGAAACAACAACACAAGAAAAAUAAAU